GCACGCCGUAAGUUGGCUGAACAAUCCAGUAACCUUGCUGCUGCUCCAGCUAAUAUCAAAGGACCAUUGGGUCCUGUCAUUCAAAUGCCAAGGAGCAGUGGGUCGUUUCGUGCGGUGCCAAAUUCCGAUGGAAAACAUCCUACAAAUUUACCAUCACCACCUCCACCGCAUGAGUCUCAAGACAAACUACAUCCUGCGGGACAGUCUGCAAGUGCUGUAAAACAGUCGCCUGCUGCGAAAAAUCCAACUAAUAGCCAAGGCCCCCCUGCUGGAAAAUCGGAAAGUACUUGGAAGUAUGUAGUUGGGAUUUGCAUUGGAGUAGUUUUGCUCAUUCUUGUUGCUUCUGUGUUCUUAAUCUGCCGAAUCAGAGCAGCUAGAACAAUUGUCCCUUGGAAGACUGGAUUGAGUGGACAGCUGCAAAAAGCAUUUGUUACAGGAGUUCCAAAACUGAACAGGUCCGAGCUUGAAACAGCAUGCGAGGAUUUUAGCAACAUUAUUACCAGCGGCAAUUCAUAUAUAGUAUACAAGGGCACACUGUCUAGUGGAGUGGAGAUUGCCGUUAUCUCAACUACUAUAAGUUCUCUGCAAGAUUGGUCCGUGCACUCGGAAACAGCCUUCCGGAAGAAGAUCGACACAUUUUCACGAGUGAACCACAAGAAUUUUGUUAAUCUUAUUGGAUACUGCGAGGAGGAUGAACCUUUCACUCGGAUGAUGGUCUUUG
rnacentral:misc_RNA from 1 species